AUAAGAUUUUAAAUGAGUGCUAAGAGAAUGAUUAAACAAUUAAAAGCUUUCUUUAAUUAAAUAAUUGAAUUUAAUUUUUUAGUGCAAAAGCAAAAAUAAAAAUUAGGGACAAGAAGACCCUAUGAAUUUUUUAUUAAAUUUUAUAUAAAGUUUUAUAAAAUUUAAUUUAAUUGGGGUGAUGGAAAAAGAAUAAAUAUCUUUUUUUUAAAGAAAAUUGGUUCCGUUUUUAGCGAUUAAAUGAAAAAAAUACUCUAGGGAUAACAGCGUAAUAAUUUUGGAUAGUUCAUAUAGAUAAAAUAGUUUGCGACCUCGAUGUUGGAUUAGGAUUCUUUUUUGGUGAAGAAGUUAAAAAAAGAAG
rnacentral:rRNA from 1 species